rnacentral:rRNA from 1 species
UACGAAGGGUGCAAGCGUUAAUCGGAAUUACUGGGCGUAAAGCGUGCGCAGGCGGUUCGCUAAGACCGAUGUGAAAUCCCCGGGCUUAACCUGGGAACUGCAUUGGUGACUGGCGGGCUAGAGUGUGGCAGAGGGGGGUAGAAUUCCACGUGUAGCAGUGAAAUGCGUAGAGAUGUGGAGGAACACCGAUGGCGAAGGCAGCCCCCUGGGUCAAGACUGACGCUCAUGCACGAAAGCGUGGGGAGCAAACAGG